rnacentral:tRNA from 1 species
UUCCUGGUGGUCCAGUGGCUAAGACUCCGCACUCCCAAUGCAGGCAGCCAGGUUCGAUCCCUGGUCAGAGAA